rnacentral:rRNA from 1 species
GCCAGCAGCUAUCACUCUGCAGCUCUCACCUGGUUGCCCACUGAAGCUAAGCAGGGAUGAGCCUGGUCAGUACCUGGAUGGGAGACCUCUUGGGAAAAUGAAGUUGCUGCUGGAA